GCCAAAGCGUGCCAGUAGGAGGUCGUGCGUAUCUGUCGGCACGCAAGCGUGCCACGUGUUGGCACGCAAGCGUGCCCGUGCCGUACCAUGUCAAGGACGUAACGGCACGCCCCCGUGCCACGGCACUUUAAACCUUGGACUCAACCUCUAGGUUGUUAUAUGAACUUCCAUGUUUUAGACAUGAUGAAAGAGUUUUCUACACAUUUGAGUGUAUAAAUGGCAAACGCAUAUACUUGCUUGAUUAAAUGAAAGGUGGUUGCUUGCACAACAAUUUUAUACCCCGUGUAGUGGAAGUCUAUGCAGUAAGGCAUAUGCAUGACACGCACUAUGAUUUCUAUGGACAUCCUUGUAAUUCAUUUGGAUAUAACAUUAGUAAAUGACUCUUCUUAUACUAUAUUGGUAUUAGAAUUGGUGAAACCCGUUAGAGUCUUGAAUGAAAUGUGGACUUUUACAAGUUGAGACACGUUGCAUAUUGGUAGAGUCCUACCAAGUUAAUUGAAAUGAAACAUGACCAUUAUGUAUAGUAUCCGACCUUGAGUCGAUGAUUGAGAUUUCAUGUUUUAGACAUGAUGAUUGUGAGAUGUGGCCCUUGGACAUGAUGUUUGUGAUAACGCUUGCUUGUCAUUGUGCUCACUCGCACAAGCUUGUGAGGGUCGCUCCCUACAAGCUAGCACUCUAGAGUUAGCCUUUGGAACGACUGAUCGCUCAUGUGGGAUUCGGCGCCGACAUGGAUUGUCGUGGGGAAGGCUCAUUCCUAGCAGGGGAAUGUUGACUACCACGGAGCCAUUAGGCACGGCAUAGGCUGGGACGUUAUCACGUGUAAAUCUCCCGUUAAUUGGGUAAAAUUUAAUUAAUCUUGUCAUUAAGAUGGACAUAUUAGUGGGCAUUUACCUUGUGACACAAGUUGAUGCAUACCUAGUAGAUGGACAUACUAGUGAAUGGUUACCUUGUGACACUACUUCAUGCAUUCAUAGUAGUUGGACAUUCAUGUUGGUCAUUGUUUGCAUUGACAACCUUGCUUAUGUUAAUUAGUAUAGAAAUGUAGCUUUAUGAUGACAAUAGCUAUUUGAUUAUAAUGAAAGACUUUCUCUUUAACUAUGGCUUAUAGCUUAAAGAUGGACAAGCAGGUAAAUUGCAUAUACACCACUUGUGCAUGUGAGGGUAGAAAGUUAUAUAUUCAUGUUAGUGAACAUAUCAUGUAGAGGCAUGUCUAUAAUUGAAUAUGUUCAAUUAAUUGUUGCACUUACGCUUACUACAUUUUAUACUAUAUUCAUGCCUCAGUUGACCUAGUGGUGUAUUUCGCCACUCUCGGCAGCUUACCCACUGGGAACUAUUGUUUAAUAGUUCUCACCUCCAUUGGUUGAUUAUUUUUGUUUCAGAGCCUUCCGCAGCGGGAGAGGCUAGGGUUCGUGACAAGGGGUUAGUGACUAGCUAGAGCCUCCUCAGUGCCGCUAUCGAUGGACCCGUAGACGUCUUUCUUUUAGUUUAGUUGAAAGGUAUAUAAUUAUAUUUUAUUCGAGAUUUCUUAGUAUUCAAAAUGUACCUUUUGUUCGACUUGUUGUAUAUCUUGUAUCAUGUAUGUGUAGUAGAAUUAUAUUCUCGCUCUGAUUACCGUGUUUAGGAUUGAUUCCUACUUCUUUCUAUGAUCGUUGUAGACGCCUUGUGUACACCGGGGGUGCUUGGUGUACAACGGCGGGUCUGUGCACAAGCCCGGUGAGCUUCCGCUGGAAUCAAGUGCGUGACACUUAUAUAUGGCUAUCAUUGUAUUAACAACAGGGCUUAAGUACUAUUGGCCGACAAUUUUGGCCGAACAAGUUGUUAGUAGUAGUGGCUCGGUCAUUACAAAACCUUGAGGACAAACUAUGAAUCAAGGUAAAACUUCAGUCACUAAAUUUGUAUUUGAUCCUUAAAUCUAACUCUUUAUAGAAAAAUGACCUUGGGAUUUCUAAUAACAAAAAUAACUUUAUGAAGACUGAUCAAGCCUACCAUUAUGCGUAACCACCAGUCACAAUCAUAUCAAGGGUCUAACUGGCUAAACAUCCCUAGGCGGUAUAAUGAUGGAAGAGCAUAAGGAUUAUGAGUCACAUUGCAUACCUAUCCGGUGAAUAUAAGCCGCAGCUGACUCGGGAAAAUCGUAGUUUAUAACACAAUUGAUGCCCUUAAAGUCCAUGCCACGUGAAAUGACAUCAGUUGCUAUCAGAACCCACGUCGUUCCUGCUCUAAAGUUGUCGACAGCAUCUUCUCGCUUAGUAAAUAAAACAAUAAAUUCAUGGAAAGAAGUUAGCAUAAUUAUCCAGCAGUGAUAUUUUCAACUCGAAAAAAUGCUGAUCAAAUAUACCGUUAAGUCAUCAUACAAAAUAAAAUACCAGCUAACAUUAAAUUAGAGUCUAUUGAAGAAUCUGAAAUUAGAAAACAUCAAAUAUCAACACGGUGGAUACGGCAUGUGCCGAUGGGCACUUUAAUCCGUGCUGCUUAGUUCCACAUAGAUCGUCACAGUGGAUUAUAUAGCAUAUUGUCAUUUACAGAUACAAGAUUUAUUUGACAAUUUUGGUACAGAUGUUGUUAAUAUUAUCAAAUUAAAUUGGCUAUAUAAUCUACUAUAACCAACUAUAUAUUCUAAUAUAUCUAAUAAUACUAAAUCAAAAUUAUUUUAUAUUUAUGCUAAUUUACAAAUUCUAAUUGGAAUAGAAGAGCUUAAGUAAUUCUAGAUUAUAUUAGUUUGUUCAUAAGAUUAGAAUAGACUAAAUUAGAUUAGGAACUUAAAUAUAAAAUAUAGAUUAAAUUAGAUUCGAUAUCAGAGUACAUUAAAUAAGGUAAUUUUAGAUUAGAAUUUUUAAACUAGGUUAGAUUAAUUUAGGUAAUUUGGAAUUACGUAAAUCGAAUUUAGUUAGUUAUAUUCUAUUAUUUUUAAUACUGUAAUAGACAAUUCUAGAUUAGAUUUGAUAACAAAUCACAAAAAAAAUAAAAAAUCAGCACAAUACUGUGUCGGAUACUCCAGCGGGUAUCGUGUUGUCUCAUGCGAUACCCACUGGGUAUCGUGGCAUGGGGGUCCUGCAAGAACACCCCCCCCUACCGUGCCCCUAUCUUGGGGGCACAAUACGGCACGGGACAACACUUGAAACCCUAAUUGUACCCUUUUCAAAUAUAUAUAUAAAAAAACUAGAAUGAAGAACUUAGGAACUAAGUUAAUAGGGGCAGCAUAAGAAAUUAACAGGUGAGGGGACAAAAAUGAUCAUCAAAGUACCUAGAGGGGGACACAUUUGAAAAGGUAGUGUGUUCUUUAACUAGAUAUUGGUAAAUUCAAGUGGUCAAAUAAUAAAUAUUAGAGGCAUUUUUGCACAGAUAUAAUCAACUCCGGGAUAUGCUUUAAAAUGUAAUUUUUCUUUUUAUAAAUAGUACCUGCUGCUGAGUGAGGUCCGCAUGAAUCACAUCAGCUUUAAUGUCAUCAAAUGCUAACUCCUUGUACAGUUCCUUUGCUCUUUCUUUGCUUUGAACAAACACCAAUACUGGAGGAUUUAGAGACUGCAUGGAAAAGAAAAUUAAAAAUUAAAAAUUAAUUAGCAUUUCGUAAAUGAAACUUUGAACAGCAAACAGCAAAAUAAUAAAAUAAAAAUAGAAACUGCCUUCUCCUAAUGCUGCAUUAGUGAUGCUAAAACUCUCCACGUGUUCGUCAAAGAUUUAGGUAGAACAGAACUUAACAUCAGCUUCAAUAAAACAGUCUUAUAUGAGUUAAAGGAAUUCAUUGAUCAGACAAUUAAAGAACACACCUAUAACAGAGAAUAACAUAAAUGAUCUCAUAUUACUUACUAAGGGCCUAUUUGGACAUCGGCACAUCUUUCAUGGUGAUAACUUGUGUUGUAUAGUGUUUGCUUCAGUGCUCGCUAUUCCUUCAUAUCAAGUUUAGGCAACUUCCCAAUUCUCAUGCCUCUCGACAUUCAACUACCAAAUGGUCCCUUAAUAAACAACAGGAGCUAUGCCAUAAAAGUUAUUCUCGUACGCAUUCAGCCCUAGAGGGUCCAUCAAGACUGGAUAUUCAACAACCACAAACUAUCCAAACAGAAAAAGCAGCAGAAAAGGUUGUUGUUGAAGAAUAACAAAAUUACUUCAUUCGAAAUACAUCAUUUUUUUGGUCUUAAGUAUGAGCAUAAAAUACCAAAAUACACUAGCAUGACUUCAGAAGUAAAUGUGGAAAAAACUAGACAAGGAUAAGAAGCAUACUUCAGUAAAGCUUUGACGAAGUGCAAGAAGCUUUCCCUUCUCACUUCCAGCAAAAAUCAGUUUUUGCUUGAUCAACUCGGAAGCAGAAUUCCUGUUAGAAUGUUUCAAAUAUAAGGCUUAAAUAAACAACUGAGCAGAAAAGUACACAAUAGACGGUACUCAAUUUCUACAAUCAGGAACUAUAUUGUGAGAGAAAUGCUAUGAAGACAUGCAUAAAUGAUGAACAAAAUGGAAUUCAGGUGUGAGUCUGAUGGAAAUACUCACUUUCUACCCACAAUGACUCGAACUGCAUCAUGCAUUAUUGAACGCGCAAGUUCUUCAACAGAAUCAGGCAAGGUGGCACUGAAUAAAGAACGAAUAAUUGAAGGAUUCGAGCAAGCUUUAACAACAGAAUCAAUCUGCUCAACAAAUCCAAGCUCAAAUAGCUUAUCUGAUUCAUCCAAGACAAGGUACUCCACCCUGCAGCAAGCAACAAAUAAAGGAUUAAAUUUUCUAACCAAAUCCCUUUUUCUUCAUCCAACUCUAAUAUGAUAAAAAACCAUAAGGUCAAAAAUACUUAGAACGUAAGAGAUGUGAUUUACCAACAAUAUUUACAAGAAAGAGUAACUUUGACAAAUUAAAGAAGUUCAGCAACAUCUAUCAACUAAAUAUUCAUGCUGGUUUCACAGUUGAAUUCAAAAUAAUAUAUGAGUAUACGGUAAUCGACCUUACACUUCGAACUCAAUAAACUCUGUAGAUUUUUCUUAAAUGUUUGAAAUACUUGAAUGACUCGAACAACAAGUUCACUUUCGAAACAAAGUAAUAGAAAAUGACAUUAAUGAUCAACAUCAAAAGAACUGUACCAUUAGUUAUAUGGCAAGAAUAUCAUUAGGUUGCUUGUACGCAAAAAGAACCAGGCAUGAUUGAUAAGAUUCAAGGGAAAUAGUUACUGAGUUACAAAUAGAAAGUUUGCCUUUCAAAGCAAGAUAAACUACAGGUAAGAGAAAAUCUAAACAUUCUAGCAUUUUGAAGCAUAAGAGAUCAUAUAUAGAUUGUUCCUGAAUCUUUUAUAAUACGGCAAAUAAAAGAAAAACUAAGAAAGGAUCUUUCAAAGAACUGAUACUUUUAGCACAAACCUACUUAAAUUGAGCUUUCUUUUCCUCAAAGCAAAGUCCAACCGCAGUGGAGUUGAAACAAGAAUGUCGCAAUGCAUUUUUUCAAAAUCACCAGAUCGAGAUAGGUCCUUAGUCAUUAAUUUGAUAUAAAAUUUCCUUCCUUUAGCCAACUUCUUACACUCUCUUGUAGUUUGUGCAGCUAAUUCUCGCGUAGGGCAAAGAAUCACAGCUUUUACACCAUCCUUAGUUCCUGGCUGUUAGCAGCAAAUUAGACUUAAAGUAUGCCCAGUGUCUCUCUUAUGGAUAAUACCCAAACUGAAAAAUACUACCUUAAUUUUCAUAAGGAUUGGAGAUAGAAAAGCCAAUGUCUUGCCAGAACCUGUUGGAGCACAGGCGAAGCACUCUUGCCUCUGCAAUAUAUCAGCUAAAGUCAAGCUAGUUUUCUACAGUAAACAUAAAUUAUCCCUUUUUUCUUUGGAACGGAGGACUCGAAUAUUAAGCACAAGGGAGCCAGCGAAGUAAAAGAGCUUACUGAGAGGAGCACUGGAAUAGCCUGCCUUUGAAUAGGUGUAGGUUCUUUAAAUCCAAGUCCAGAUAAGUUCUGCAACAACUUGGAUUUGCAGCCAUACCUGUCCAAUUAAUAAAUUAUGAAAUUAACAAGCUUUGUAGCAUACCAAGUUAGAAAACUAAAUUUAGGAACUUCAUACCCAAGAAUGAAAAUUUCCUGCAUUGAAUACUGCAGAGUGGACAAGAGCAAGUGGAAAGGGAGAGAAUAUAAUAAAGAGCUCUAUGGAGGUACAAAUAUUAAAGAAUAAAAUGACAAAAAUGAAAACAAUGACAUAACCAAAUAAGAACACAUAAUAUUACUGAUUCAUCAUCAUUGAAAUAUAUAGCAGGCUGCCACUGGUCGCUAAACAAAAUUUGAUUAUGAGUUGCAAUGUUCAGUUUAAAGAAAAAAUCUGAGUCGGACUUUUGAUCUCAGUAUGCAUCUCUCCCAUGUAAAUGGCGACAAAGAUAUAUGUAGAAGAUCCAACAUUGUUGCACAUCCUGAAAUGUUUGUAGCCUGCUAAAGCUUCAUUUGUUCAAUUCAUUCAAAUUGUAAGUUUUAUGUGUCAAUGUUGCAUUAUUAGCACGUCAGAAUAAAUUAAGCUACAAGAGUUUUGAGCGUUCUUUCGUUUCAACGAAAAUUUCAUUUAGCGAACAUGCAUCUAUAGAUCAACAAUGUUUUGAAUCUUACACUUAAAAUUGUUCUCUAGCAAAUUCAAAGACUGUUGGAUUGUUUGCAACAUAAAUGAAUCAGAAAACCCAAUUGUUCCUAUGAAAUUGAAUCCUAAGUCUGCAAAGUACCAUUUAAACUAAGAAUUUAAGUGCUGUAGCACAUGGUCGUACCGGAAACUUGCCAGCACGGUACGGCACAGUGAGCGCCAGGUGAUGCCGAUGCGUGCAGGUCACAAAAAAUACAUGUGUGCCGACACAUAAUGACAUGAAAUAUUUAUUUUCUUUAGCAACAAAAUAUUCUGACUAUUUAUUAUGUAUUUUUAUCAUACCUUUUGUUGAGAAAAUUACUUACUAAUUUAAAAAAUAGGGGGUUUGAGCUAUGCGGUCGGUACGGGGGUUGUAUCGUGCCGAACCAUAUGCAACAUUCUGAAUAAAUUUUGCAACACCAUGUGGGUUUUGAGUCUGUCACCACCAAAUACUAUAGUAUGCUUGUCACGGACUAGGUUCAUUGCUUUUCUUACAAGUUACAAAAUUUGGUGUAUAUAGAUUUGAUUUAUGUCUACUUUUCAACUCGGUAAUAUUCCUGAUAAUUAUUUUUGGAUAGAAUAGAGCCACAAUAAAUUGAUAACGUUGACACGGGUGGUAGAGUAUAUAAGGAUUAAAUAACAUUGGUAGAGUUGAUAGCCUAUUAGAGCAAGAUGGUAGAAGGCCCGUUUAGCCAAGCUAUCGAGUGUAGUGUGGUUGAAAAGGUGCUAUAUAAAAUAGUGCGAUGUUAUUGAAACAAAUGUAGAUGGUUUGUCUAAUUCAGCUAUAAAAGUGUUGUCUACUUUUAAAUAUAAAAAUAUAAAAACACCAUUCUCUACCAGCUUAAGUUUUUAGAGAAAAACGGUUGUUUCGCAUUAUUUAAUAUGGUAUCAAAGCAGGAGAUCCUGAAUUCAAGUUACACCAGGCUCCUUGCAUAAUUGAUUUACUUCCAUUUAAUUCGAGUCCACGUCAUGGCCUAUCAAAAGUCUCGAGCCCAAACGUGAGGGGGAAUGUUAAAUAUAAAAAAUAUAAGAACACCAUUCUCUACCAGCUUACGCUUUUAGAGAAAAACGGUUGUUUCGCAUUAUUACAUUUGGCAUAGAAAGAUGUUUGGAAAAACUCUGUUGAAAUGCUAUCAACUAUUGCGAAGUGUAUUAAAAAUUUUUUUUAUAAAUAUAAAAUUGUAUUUGGACCCCUCUACUAUAUGCCAUUUAUAUGAAGGGCUUAAAACUUUUUCUUUUGGUUGACAUCCCGUUUUUCAAUAAUUUUUUUAAGGAAAAAGAGUACAAAGGCCCCUCAUUAAUGCGCUACAAUAGUAAAGCAUACUAAAAUAUUGAUUAAGGUAAUCCUAUGAGAAAGAAACUAAGUUGUAUGAGUUUGUCUCUACCAUUUAGGUAAGAUUUAAAUUUUUAAUUUGUUUUUCUUUCAAACUAUCCUAAUUUAAAUAAUGAUGUUUUCGUUACAAUUCUUAGUUCAUAUCUAUACCCAUGCUAAAACCUUUCAAUUUUUCACUUUUCAAGCUUCAACAGACACUUCAAUAAUGCUAAUUGGAAAAAAUGAAAGGUCGGUCUCCAAUAAGUGUACAUAACAUGGGAUCUCUUAAUAUUCAGUUGAUUUGCCAAUGGCAUUUACAACAUAUAAGAUUCGUACAUAGGUGUGUUGUCACAAUUUUAUGCUGUAGAGAAUUAGAAAUACUAAUGUAGAUGGAAAGUUGGAAAUGACCCAAAAUGGUUUAGAAAGAAACCUCCGAUAACAACCAAAACCAGAGAGAGAGAGAGAGAGAGAGAGAGAGAGAGAGAGAGAGGCAAAUCAACACCACAGGUAAUACCAACCCUUGAAUCAUAAUAUCCACCUUGACCAGCUCACUACAACCCCAUGCAAGGAUUGUCGAGCCAGUAGUACGGGCAUUUAAUGUGCCAACAGCACGGCACACCACGCCAGCGCACGCCCCAUUUUAUAUGUUGGCACAGUUAGCAAGAGCUUAUCGGCACAGGCAGCACAUGCCGACUGUGCCAGAUGGUGCCAACUGGAAUGGCAAUCCUUGACCAUAUGUCAAAAAUAUUUUACACAAGAAUUGGUCAGUAAUAUGUUCCUAACUUCCAGAAGCAACUACCAUAUGGUUUUGAACGAUCAAAUUUGAGAAAAAAACAUAUUUUCUAUCAGCGUUAUGUAAUUUAUGACCAAUUAAUCUUUUGCACAUCUGAAUUUAAUUAGGUUUAUAUUUCCAACUUUGUGAAAAUCUUCCACAUUUUUAAAAAAUAUCAGAGGUCUCAAAAGGUCAUCAGAACCUUUUUGGAUUUCAUGAUUUUGAAUCCCUCUUUGAUUUACAACUCAAUAAUAAACUACUUUGAUAACAUCCUAUGCAUAAGAAUUAAGAUAUACGAUACGUGAUACAGAUGCAGUUGAGAAUGGUUAAGAUUGGGUUCAGGCAUCAGUCCUGAGGCUCCCAAAAUAAAUAUUCACAAAAGAUAAAGCCAACAAAAAAUGCAAGCCCAAAAAUGUCAAUUGUCAAUGCCGUUUUCAGUAGAGCAACACGAAAAAGUCAAGUUCUAGCAUAUAAUUCUAUUUUCCAAUAUAUAGUGCAAAAUAACUAUCUUGAAUAAAUAGACCAUUAAUUCUUACAUAUAAAAGAAUCUUUGCAAUAAUAUUAUGCAAAACAAAAGAUCCCUACUAGUAUUAGAUCAGCAUUGCACUUGUUCCUCCUAUGGAAUCUAGUAAAAACAUUAUCAAUCCAAAACAUAUCACAAAUAUCCAAAAUUAGUAAAUCAGCAACACUGCAGCUAACGUGAUGAACAACAAAAACCAACCUUGAACUCAGUUCUUCAAAACUCUCAAGCGGUGCAGGAACAUUAUAACCUGAAAUAUGAAUCCCAUGCUUCUUCCGCAGAAUCGAAGCUCUCUGUAACGCCACACCAACAACAACAAAAUCCAAAUUAAAACGAAAUCUUUAGCCAAAAAAAUAGAAAUUAAACAAGAUACUCAAAUCAGCAACUUGGCCGACCUCGAUCUCCCUUGCCAGUUCCUUCCUAUGAGUAUUAGAGCCAUCCGCUUCCCCGGAUCUAGGGUUUCUCACAGAAGAAACGGAUCCAGAGCACCCGAACACGUUGAAACCCUCGACGAUCUCCGCGGAAGCGGAGGAUUUGUCCUUCCGCUUCCUCUUCUUCUCCUUCUUCUCCGGCGACCCCGGCGGCUCUGCUUCUUCUUUUCUGGCAUCCUCCGGAGGCGGCGGCGGCGGCGGCGGCCGCGGCUCCUUCGGCUGUAGAUAAAGAUACAUAGAAAGCGAUGUUACGAAGAAGAAGAGGAAGAGCAGAACCAGGGUUAGGGUUAGGGUUAGGGUUUUGUUUUUUUGCCUUGAAGCGGGCGAUGUCGGAGCCGAAGCGCUUCCGGUCGAAGUGGGUUCCGGCGAAGAGAAGUGACGACGCCUUUUCCAUUCGAUGAAUUGCUUUCUCUCUCUCUCUCCUCUUCUCUCUUCCCCUAUUUCCUGACAAUCCGUAAAACAAACUUUUCGAAAAAAUUUCUUUACGACCGUACAAACGCCGAAAAUUUAGUUUUCCACUAAAUUUUUUUUUUUAAGAUGCUUUUCCCACGAAACAAAUACACCCUAAAAAAAAAAAAAAAAAUUUACUACCAACCAAAUAUUCGAAACCCAUUUUUCAACAGAAAAAAAAAUUUCAAAAUGCUUUACAAAGGGCAUGUUUGGUUACUCGAAAAUCGGCGAAGUGAAAAAAAUUAUUUUUACGAAAGUAACUUUUACGAAAGUGACUUUUCAGUUCGAUUGUUUGGUUGGUAUAAAGUAAAAAAUUAAAACUAUGAUUUUAUAAUUUUUUAAUUAUUAAAUUAUAUAUAAAAAGGUGAAAAUAUAAACAAACUACUUAUACUUACAAUUUAAAUUAAAAAUUUAAAUUUAAAUUAAUAUUUAGAAUUCAAAGUUAUUUUUUAAAAUUUAAAUUUUAAACUUAAAUCUGAGUUGAAUUUAUAAUUAAAAUUUAAGAUAUAAAUUUAAUUUACAAUUUGAAUUUAAAAUUUAAGUUAUAACUUAAUAAUUAAAAUUAAAUUUUAAAAUAAAAGUUCAACAAAAAAAUUAGAAUUUAAAUUUAAAUUCUAGAAUACAAUUUAAUUCAAAUUAAAUUUAAAUUCAGAAAAAAAAAAAUGAAAUUCAAAUUUAAAUUUAAUAAAAAUUAGAAUUUAAAUUUAAAUUAAAUUCAGAAUUCAAAUUUAAACAAAAUAAAAUUUAAAUAUUAUUUAGAUUUAAAUAUAAAUCAAACAAUCUUGAAUUUUAAAAUUUUAUAUCGAAAUUUUAAUUACAAAUAAAAUUAAAACAUGAUCAUAUAUUUUAAUUCAAAUUUAAAGUGAAAUUGAACUUAAAAUUUAACCCUAGAGGGCCCAAAUGGCUAAAAAUUUACAAUGGCCUAAAAAUUUACAAGCACCAAUCAAUUGAUACUUUUAAAAGCAUAGACCUCAAUUCUCUCAACUCUUCAUCUCUAUAUAUAUAUAUAUAUAUAUAGAGGAGAGAGAGUAGGGGAGGGUUGGGAGGACAUGUGUCACUCCAAGGUCCCCCAAACACUCCUUUAAUGUAGUAGAAAGAAUAGAAAUAGAUAUGUAUUAAACCAAAUAAGUCUCUAUCAUCUAUAAAAAUAUGCCACUAGCUUAGGUGGUGAAUCAUUUAAAACUAGAGGAGGUCCGUACUUUGCAGCAGAUCGAUAGUAUUCUAGUCAAUCAAUAUAUAUAAUUAUUAAAAUUAAAAAGUUAAAAAAUUAUAAUAAAAAAUUUAAAAAAAUUAAUAGUCUUUUAUGCAUUAUAAAAACUAAUUUUUUUAUUAAUAAUUUUUAACUUUCAAUAUUUGUUGAGUUAAAGUAUUCUAAAAAUUUCAUUUAAAAAUUUGAUCAAACUUGGUAGUUUUAAUAGUUAUUCUAUAAAUAAAAUUUUUAAUUAAAAAGUUCAAAUUGGAGGACUUAUUCUAAAUUAUCAUAUAUAUUUGGUGCAUAUAUAUAUGCAUGGUGUAUAUAUAUUAUAUAUUAUUAUAUAUAUACCUGGUGUAUAUUAACACACUAUACACCAUAACUUAUAUUAAAAGAACUAAUAUCUAAUAUCAAAAUUUAAUUAAAUAUAUCUUAAUUAUAAAAUUUAAUAAAUUAAUUAUAUCUACUGAAUUAAAUUUCAAAAUCUCUAUUAAAGCUUUAAAUUAUGUUGUGUAUGUUUUUAUAUACACUAAGUGUAGAGAAUAUUUAAGAGAGUGCAAUAAUAAAUUUCAAAAAAAAAUGAGAAAUUUUUGCUUGCAUAAGGUGUAUACUAAUAUUUUAUACACCAUAAAAUUAUAUUAGAUAAUGAAUAAAAUAUUUGAUAAUUAAUAUUAACGAUUUUUAUAAUUUGAUAGAAUUGCCAAAUUACCAAAUUAUAUAUUUUAUAGAUUUUUAAAUAUUAAUAAUUAAAAAAUAGGCUUCGUGUAUAUGAUAUUUUCGUAGACCGGAAGCAUGCAAUGUGUAUUGUUGAAGUGGAGAAGAGAGAGAGAGGAGGACACAUGUCACUCCCAUGACUUUUGAUAUGACCCGACUCUCAAAUUAUAUAUUUAUCAGUGAAAUGCCCGCGCGAUGCUGCAGAUAUAAAAAUAUUUUUAUAAUAAAUUUUAUUUUUUUAAUAUUUUUAUAUAGUUUUAUAAGUCUAAUUAUUAAUUAAGUAAAAAUUAUAUAAAAAUAAUUUAAUCCGUAAAUCUAUUUAAAUAAAAGUCAUUAAAAUUGGUAUAGCGCAAAGUAAUUUAUACAACAAUUUAUUUUAUAAAUAUUUAUAUGAAAAUAAUUUGAGAUAAAUCUAUCAAAAUAAUUAAAAAAUCAAUAAAUAGAAGAAAAAUAAAAUUGUAAAAGAAAUUGUUUAAUAACAUUAAUUAUAUAUACACAGAAAUAUACUAUAUUUCUAAAAUUUUACUUCUCAAAUUUAAAUACUGUAUUUUUUUAUGCAGCGAUAUUUUACAUGAUUUAAAAUGCAUCUAUCAGGUUAGAUUUUAUUACGCAAUUUAUUACACUUAUUAUUAAUAAAAUUAAUUAAUUAUAUUAUAUAUAAUGAAUUAUUAAUAAAAUUAAUUAAUUAAUUUCAUAGAGUUUAGAGCUUUAAUUUUAAAUUUUGAAGUUUAAAAUUUGAAAAUAAAUAUUAUAAAUUAAAUUUAAAAUUUUAAAAUUUGAAAGUAUCAAAAUUUUAAAUUUUGAUAUCAAAAAAUAUAUAUACACCCUAUGGUUUCCCCAAACCCUCCUUUAAUGUAGAGAAAUAGAUAUAUAUAGUAUAAAAUCCGCACUUCGCUGCUGCGAAUAAAUAAAAUUUUAAUUAAUUAAUAUAUAAUUAUUUAAAAAUUAAAAAUUAAAAUAUAAAAUAUAUUUUAAAAAAAUAAAAUAUAAUAUAUUCGAAAAAAUCGUUAAUUUCUCAAUAUCAAAAUAUUUGUCAACUUAAUAUUAAAAAUUAAUUAGAAUUUACAUUUUAUUUUAAAAAAUGAAGAACAUAAUAUAUAGAAAAAAAUCAUUUAUGUCACGCCCCGGAUUACACGUUCUCCAGGCACGCCGACAAAUCCACAGUAUUAAAAUAUAAAAUAUCAUUUAUGUCACGCCCGGAUUACACGUUCCCCAGGUACGCCGACAAAUCCACCGUAUACAAAGAAAUUUUUCCUGUAUACGAAGCGACGGCUGUACCUGUAGACCAUACAAUACUACAAAAAGUAGUAUAGAGCUACUAGAGUAAACAGAAGCUAAACAAACAGAGUUCCAUAUAUAUAGUCCAAUACUAAAAAUAUAGAGUUACUCGCACUGGCGAGUUAAGUAUACUAUGUACAUGAACUCAAACAAAACAUCUACCUGCAGUAGGGGUACCUCUAGCUCGGCACGUCUGGUAGGGCUCUAACUCGUGACGCCCUUGCCUCGAUCCUGGUCGGCAACAGCAGCAGCCGAAGACGAUGGCUCUGCAAAAAUAGGGGAUAAAACAGGGCGUGAAAACUACUGUAAAAAUAGGUAGUUCUCAGUGGGUGCCGCCCUCAACAAUAUCGGUCCACCCACUAAGUCUACAGAAGGGAGCAAAGAUAGUAGUAAAUGCAGGAAUAAAAUCUACCGCUAUGAAUCACUACACUACCAUGCUCUACACUAACCAACUUUAGGAAAUGUCAAAUCUGACUCAAUCCAAUCGGGACUGUAUGCAUAUCCGUCCCUGGGACUAUGAACACACCCGUCCCUGUCCAGUUGUGACUAUCCAGCUACCUCCACACUAUUAAUCCGUGGAGAGUAAGUCCAACCGGCAUGAGCGACACCAACGCGAAAGCACAGCGCCCGUCUCCGGAGUGGCACUCGUGGGAGCUACCUAACCGAGUAUGCAGCGUAUCUCUGUCGAGCUCAAUCAGGCUCUCAAAAGCCAAAGUCAAAUAACUGACUCAAACUGGUCUAACAACCAACAGGUAACGUGCCCUCGGCACAAUUCGACGCCAAAUAGGCGAUACGGGUCCACCGUCAACCUCGACAGCACUCAACAGUCCGGAACAGCCUGAACGCUACUGUAAAAGUACACUCGACAUCCCAGCACGAGUGUAACUGAAAUCUAAACUAUCUGGGAUACCCACUAAGAGGAUACUGCAACAGUAAAAAUUUAUACAACGGCCCCUAUAGCUAAAUCAGGUAGUUUAAGCAUAUGACGAUCAUAAUCGCGAGUUUUCUCCUAAGACUCAUCCAAGUCCAACAUGUAUAUAUAUCCAAAGAUAAUAACCAAGGCUCCAAUUCAGAUUAUUAAUCAUAGUAAAUCAAUGAACCGAGCAAUUACUACACACAAAAUAAUUCCACGAAUGCAUGUCGACUAUAUAGGCACUUAGAAGUAAACCGAUGAUUAACCCACCUAAAACGUAAAUCCCUGACAGUGAAGAAGGUCACCGGAGUCCCUGUCAAGCUCGGCGCAGCUCCCCGAACCAGCGACAACAAUGCUCCACGGAUCUAAACAUAGAAGCCCACAAUAAGCCUCGAAUCUGCCCAAAGCAACAACAGCAGAGAAAAAUAGUGAUACAACCAAGCUAACCUUCACCAAAUUCGGCAAGUAAAGGCUUCGUGGAUUCCUCUCGAAGUCCCGAAUCCAACGAACCAAAUCUCGUCAAAAUCCGACGCUCCUACGCCGAGAACGAGCCAAAACGCCAACGAUCAAUGCCGAAAAAUCUGCAAAUCAGCACAUAGCUCGAAUUUGAUGAUGCUUGGAAAUGAAGAAGCAAAUCGACGGAAUACCCACCUCGACAGCGACUAGCACCAGGGCGAUGUCAAUAACGGCGAAGAUCUAUGCUCGCCCGGCCUCCUUGCGACACAACGGCGGCGAACGUACGCUCGAACGGCUUCGCGGUGCGACGUCGACGGCGAAACCUCCACCCGAGCUCCCUCCUUGGCUCACGAUCGAAACUAGAGAGAGAGGAGUAGAAGGACAGUACAAACUCUCUCUCUCAGCUCUACAUAAGCCUAAAUAGAGAGAGAGGGAAAGGGUGACACGGACGAGGUGGAAAAAGACCAAAAAGUCCUCCUACCUACCCUGACGUACCGGUACAUGGGCUCGCGUACCGGUACAAGAAGCCAACCCGAGACCAGUUUGCGCGCAACCUGUGCGGUGCACCGGUACACGAUGAUGGCUGUACCGGUACAGCAAGCAAAAAAUCAGCUUUUUUGUAGAUUUUCUUGCUAAAUGCUGCUCUCGCGUCGCACAGAGUCCGUUUUGCGUCUAUUUCGCGCCAACGUGACUCAGACUUGUCUCGACACUCUCCAGAGAUGUCGACAAGCCUUCACUGCUGAACACCAAGGGUCUCACAGUUUACUUCUCAAUAUCAAAAUAUUUGCCAACUCAAUAUUAAGAGUUUAUAUUUCAAAUAAAAUAAUUUUAAAAAAAUUUAAAAAAAGUUAGCUCAUUAGAAAGCAAAUUAGAGGGUAAAAAUUAGUGUACUUAAAAAAAAAAACUGCUUCUCUUCUUUUUUUUCUUUUUUUUUUAUUUGCUUUGGAAACUAUAGAAUGGUUAAAAGUUAGUAGGAAAAAAAAAAUAGAAAGGCAAAAAAAAAAAAGAAAAAAAAAGGCAAGUUAGCCAAAAUAAUUGGUCAACAAAAUCAGUCCACAGAUGCGUUUUGCAUUCCCCACAGACAGGCUAUGCAUCUCCUCUCUCUCUCUCUCUCUCUCUCUCUCUUUUGUUUCAAAAAUAUGCAUCCUCUCUCUCUCUCUCUCUGUUUCAGAAAUAUGCAUCUCCUCUCUCUCUCUUUCGCUUGUUUCAAAAAUAUGCAUCUCCUCUCUCUCUCUCUCUCUCUCUCAUUUGUUUCUUAUAUACUCAACCCCUUGUUCCCCUUUGCCUCCCUACAACUCACUCCCAUCUCCACAAACUCUCAAAACCCAUCUCAAAAAUCCAUUCUCAACCAAAACCCAAAACCCAAAAUAUUACUCUUUUGUUCAUGGAAACCACGUUCUUGUUACUUUAUUUAGAUUUAGAUGACCCUCCGAGGGUAAAACCAACUCUUAAUCCGCGGGUAUGGGCGGCAGCGACUUCGGACGACGUUUGGACGGCAUCGGCGAGUACGGCGGCAGCACCUCGAGUUGCUGGCGACGUCGAUAGUGGAUGCGGAGGCAACACCUUUGGGCGGCGUCGGCGGGUUCGGCGGCAGCGGACAGAAAAGGAGAUCUAGCACAGUUCCCUUUCUUUUUUAUUUCUAUAUAUAUACAUUUAUUUAUUUAUUUAUUUAUUUAUUUAUUUUUAACUUUCCUUCUUCUAUCUUCUCUUGCUCUUUUUUCUCUCUUUUUUUUUGCUUUUAUUUGUUUUGCAACAGAAAAUGUGGAUUACCGCACAGUCGCCUCCCGCCGAUUCUCCAUGUGAUUCCAUGUGUGCGAUGCCCAUAUCCCCCUCCCCGAUUCGAACUCUUUUCUCGAGCUAUUUAUAAAGCCCAAGCUUUCGAAAUCAAGAUAUUUUCAGAUCUUAAAAAGAUCUGGGCAGAGGAGAAGAGAGAGAUAGAGAGAAGGGGAAGGUUUUUAAUGUUAUUUACUUGUCUUGGGAGGGGAAGGUUUUAAUAUUAUUAAUAUUUACUUGUCUUGGGAAACCUUGGGACCAAGAGAUUUUUUUUGGGUAGGAGAGAGCUGUCUUGAAAAAUUUUAAAAAUAUUUGGAAAAAAGAGAGAGGAUUUUUUUGAAAAGGAACUGGUUUACUCUUGGGAAGGAGCUAUGAAGCCAAGAGAUUGUCACGUAUGCAUCAUAUUAUUUUUUUAUUUGUGGAAAAAUGAACCAUAUCUGAAAAUUGUUUGAAAAAAAAAAAAAUCUGAGAACAAUUUUUUUAUUCGUAAAAAAGGAAAUGCCGCCACGUAUGAAUUUAGAACCAUCAAUUAGUAUAUUUGUAUGGAUUCUUUUCUUAGUUUGAAAUUUAUUUCUUAUUUUUUUAUUCUUUUUUAGAAAUAAAAUUAAUUAGAAAUAUAAAUCAACUAGGAUGCGAACUUGAGACCCUCGGAUACCAAUCACUAAAUCCUUUGCCACUUGCCCUAGGACAAUCGGUAUUCAAAAUUUAUUUCUAAUACAACGAAAUGAAUUUAUUUCUAAUACAACGAAAUGAAUAGUAUGUCUGUUUUCUCCUCCCUCCCCUCAAGAAAAAAUAAAUAAAAGAAAAGAAAAGAAAAAGUGUCAAAAUUAUAGAUUUAGAGUGUCAUUCUACAGUAGAUUAGAGUUUUGGGGUAUUUCUGCGAUUAUUCCCUUUUCAUUUUGGUAACAUUCUCCGAUCAGAAAAAAGUCUAGAAUAAUGCGGAGCACGAAAACCCUAGCGGCGGCGGCCGGCGCUGGAUCCAUCUAAGCAUAUUGAAAGUGGAUCUUCCUCAAAAUUGUCUUCUUAUGAGAAUCGCAACAACAAAAUUUUAAAUAAUAAAAUUACUAUUACAGCAGCUAUCUCUAAAAUUAUAUUUUUGUUAAAAAUAAAUAACAUUUAGGCCUCAAAUGACAAAUAGUAUUCUACAAAUACAAAAGUUAUUUUAAAUUAAAUAUUUAUUCAGGAUGGAGUUGGAAAGAAGCUCAAGAGAUUUUUAUUUUAUUUUUUUUGCCUUCCCAUUUGGUGUGUAUUAGGGUAGCUGCUCCACCAGCCCUGAAUCCAUUUGCAUCCCUAAAACUAUACUUCUAUUUGAAUUUUUGACAAAUCUAUUAAAAUCCUUUGUAAAUAAUUCUACUCAAACAUAAUUUUGAUAUUAAAAAACCCAUCCACACUCUCCAACAAAUUAAGACUUAAUUUAAUAUUGAAAUCAAACUGACGCUAUUAAAUAAAAUAGAGUCAGAAAUAUAUCGUAACUGACUCAUCGUGAUAUGCAAAAUGCAAUAUUAAGUAUAGAAACAAACAAAAUAUCUUUCCAUCGUAUUUUUUCACCGCAUGUAAUGUAAUCUUUCCGCAAUUCCCCACAAUUUCAAACAAAGCCUAGAUUUUAGGCUCAAAUAAUAUUUGAAAGCAUAACAAUACAAGCUAAUCAAAAGAAGAAAUCCAACCGUAGAAACAAACACGCAGGAAUGUUUUGGUUUUCUCCAAUUUCUCAUAAAAUUAUACAGUUUAUUACUUUCCCACUUUCUCAAUCUUCUCAAAUGAAAAUUAACUAGAAAUAGCAAAUAUUUAAAGUAACAACAAGGCACUAGUUGUGUGAGUGAGCUGUUUUGAAUGAUGCUACCAUUCAAAACACAAUGCAACUAAUGGCCCGUUUGACUUAGUUUCUGAAAAGUGAUUUGUGAAAAAGUGAUUUUGGUUUGAAGAAGUGAUUUUGGUUAAAAGUUGUAAAGCGUUUGGCUGAGUUUAGAUAAAAGUGAUUUUUCUUAAGUAAUUUUGCAAAGCUGUUUGCCAAAAUUUUUUUGAUGUUUGCAUAAAUUAACUAUUUUAUUAAAUUUUAUUUUAAAAUAAUUUAAAAUAUAAAUUUGAAUUUGAAUUAAAAUUAAAAUUUUUAAAUUUCAAAAUUAUACAAAAUUUCAAAUUUGAUAUUUUAAUUAAAAAAAUAAUUUAAAAUUUUUAAAAUUUAAAUAUUUAAAAUUUAAAAUAAUUAUGAAAUUAAAAUUUAAAAUUUAAAAAUUUAAAAAUUUAAAUUUAAAUUUAAAAAUAUAAAUAAUUAGGAAAUUUAAAAUAUAAAAUUUUAAUAUUAAAAAAAUAUCAUUUUAAAUUUUAAAUUCCAAACUUUAAAUUUAAAAUUUAAAAUUUAAAAUUUAAAAUCUAAAAUCUAAAUUUAAAAUUUGAAAUUUAAAAUCUAAAAUCUAAAUUUAAAAUUUGAAAUUUAAAAUUUAAAAUCUAAAUUCAAAUUUUGAAAUUUAAAAUUUAAAUUUAAAAAUAUUAAUUAUGAAAUUUUAAAUAUAAUAUUUUAAUAUUUAAAAAUAUAAAUUUAAAUUUUAAAUUUCAAAGUUUAAAUUUAAAUUUUAAAUAUUAAAAUUUAAAAUUUAAAAUUUAAAUAUUAAAUUUUAUAUUUUAAAAUUUAAAAUUUAAAUUUUGAAUAUUUAAAAUUUAUUUUCAAAAAUUUAAAAUUUAUAUAAAAGGGUAUGAUAGAAUUGUGAGUAAUGGGAGAGGUAUUAUUAAUUAUAAAAGGGUAUGAUAGAAUUGUAUUGUUUGUUUAAGGGUAAUUUCGAUAUUUUAGUAAAAAAAAAUUUAAGUGGGGAAACAGCUUAUGCGGGAAUCAAUUUUGAGAAGCAGGUUUUUUCAGCUUCUGCUUUUGGGGGUUGAAGAAUCAGUUUUCAACUUUUAGAAAGCAGAAUCAGAUUUUUUAGAUACCUUUAUCAAACACUCUAUUGGGCCUAAAAGUGAUUUUCAGCCGAAAAUCACUUUGAAAUAGCUAGGCCAAACAGGGCCUAAGUUGCAUUCCAUGUGUAUAUGUAUUAAACCAAAUAAGUCUCUAUCAUCUAUAAAGACAUUCCACUAGCUUAGGUAGUGAAUUAUUUAAAACUAGAGGAGGCCCGUGGUUUGCAGCGGAUCGAUAAUAUUCUAGUCAAUCAAUAUAUAUAAUUAUUAAAAUUAAAAAUUAAAAAAUUAAAAAAUUAUAAUAAUAAAAAAUUCAUAUAGUCUUUUAUGCAUUAUAAAAACUAAUUUUUUUAUUAAUAUUUUUAAACUUUCAAUAUUUGUUGAGUUAAAGUAUUCUAAAAUUUUCAUUUAAAAAUUUGAUCAAACUUGGUAGUUUUAGUAGUUAUUCUAUAAAUAAAAUUUUUAAUUACAAAGUUCAAAUUGGAGGACUUAUUCUAAAUUAUUAUAUAUAUUUGGUGCAUAUAUAUGCAUGGUGUAUAUAUAUUAUAUAUUAUUAUAUAUAUACCUGGUGUACAUUAACACCUGGUAAAAAAAAUUAUUAUAUAUAUAUCUGGUGUAUAUUAACACACUAUACACCAUAAUUUAUAUUAAAAAACUAAUAUCUAAUAUCAAAAUUUAAUUAAAUAUAUCUUAAUUAUAAAAUUUAAUAAAUUAAUUAUAUUCACUGAAUUAAAUUUUAAAAUCUCUAUUAAAGUUUCAAAUUAUGUUGUGUAUGUUUUUAUAUACACUAAGUUUAGAGAAUGUUUAAAAGAGUGCAAUAAUAAUUUUCAAAAAAAAAGGAGAAAUUUUGCUUGCAUAUGGUGUAUACUAAUAUUUUAUACACCAUAAAAUUAUAUUAGAUAAUGAAUGAAAUAUCUGAUAAUUAAUAUUAACGAUUUUUGUGAUGUGAUAGAAUUGCCAAAUUAUCAAAUUAUAUAUCUUAUAGAUUUUAAAAUAUUAAUAAUUAAAAAAUAGACUUGGUAUAUAUGAUAUUUUCGUAGACUGGGUGAAUGCACAUUUGAAGUGAAGAAGGGAGAGAGAGGAGGACACAUGUCACUCCCAUGGCUUUUGAUAUAACCCAACUUUCAAAUUAUACUAGUGAAGAGGCCCGCGGUUUGCAGUGGGUAGAAACCGUAAUAGUAUCUCAUUUGGUACAUCUACCGAAAGUAUCUCACUGUAGGCGGCAGAUAUGAACCCGACGAUGCCUUCUCCGGCAAUGGUGAUAGUGACGGCGACGACGAUCUCUCCGACCGCGGCGGAAGAAGUAAUUGGGCGCGCAUUUGUCAGAGAGAGAGAGGGAGAGAGGGAAGGAGGCGAUGGUGUAUAGCUAAAGAUGAGAGAUAGAGAAUUGAUGAACAAAUCGGAGAUAAAGAAUUGAAAGUUCGGUGAAAGGAGGAAAAUGGACAAUAAUGAAUAAUUGGAGAUAGAGAGGUUAGGAUCGUAGAUAGUAGUAGGACCAUUUAAAUAUACUAAUUGGAAGUUUGGUAGUGGAACCAUUUACAUUAAUUGAAAGUAUAGUGGAGGGAAGGUAGUGGGACCAUUAAAUUCACUAAUUGAAAGUUUGAUUAAUGGGACCAUUAAAAUGCAUAUUGAAAAUUUAGUAAGCAUGAUGAAUAAUUGGAGAUAGAGAGAUUGGGAUGUAGUAUGACCAUUUAAAUAUACUAAUUGAAAGUUUGGUAGUGGAACCAUUUACAUUAAUUGAAAGUAUAGUGGAUGAAAGGUAGUGGGACUAUUUAAAUGCACUAAUUGAAAGUUUGGUUAAUGGGAUCGUUAAAAUGCAUAUUGAAAGUUUAAUGAUGGAAAGAAGAAGAGUCAUAUACUAUUGAGGGUGAAGAAAAACUUGCCACGUGGUAACAAAGAUUGAGGAUUCAUAUAGUUUAAUAGAUAUUUACUAAUAUAGAAAUCGCGCUUUAAUGAGGAUAUAUAAAAUUUUAAUUAAUUAAUAUAUAAUUAUUAAAAAUUAAAAAUUAAAAAUUUAAUCAUGUUCCAUUCAGAAAAAAUAUUAAUAUUGUUCUUCUCAAUAUCAUAACAUUUACCAAUUCAAUAUUAAAAGUUUAGACUAAAAAAUAAUAAUAAUUUUCGCUAUAAAAUUAAAUAACUAUAUUUUAUUGAAAAUUUUGCAUAAACUACACAUUAGUAAUCGAUUACAUGGUAGUUAAACAAAUGAUAGCUAAAUAUUAUAGCUGAAAGGAUCUCUCAAGUCAAAUAAAAAUCCACAUUUCAUCAAAGGUAAGUAUGAGGUAGUUCAACUCUUAUCCUCCAUAAAUCUUUUUUUAUACAAAUCAAUAUAACAUAAAUAUACUAACAAUUAGAUAUUUAUACAUUUAAAAAAUAAUUAACUGUUUGAAUCAAAAAUAUAGAUUAAAAAAAUCCAUAUAAAUAUAUAAUUUGAUGAUUUUUGUUGGAUAUUUUGCCCGGAACUGAGAAAAAAAAAUCAAGUGAAAUAUGUGGAAAGAUAUUAAUUUUAAAAAAAAUAAAUCGACCGUAGGGCAGGAUCGCAGUGUUGUGGUUAUAGAUUGGGCCAUCUAUGACCAACACUUUGAAUCGAUCAAAGCUGGAAGGAGCACGAUAGCUAAUUUAAGGAGGAGUAAGAGAACUUGAGCAAAGCUUUUGAAAUGGCUUUCUCCAAACUUCAAAAGCUCAGUAAUUAUUGUAUGUGGUAUAAGAUUAUUGCUUAUAAGAAGAUGUAGAAUGUCAUUACGUAUAAGAGAGUUAUACAAAGAGAAAAGUUAUUAUCUCUUGGGAAGGUGAAGAAGUUUCUUGGGGAGGUAAAAAGACUUCUUGGAAAGAUGAGAAGAAUUAUUACCUUUAGUAAGGUGAAAAGGCCUCUUGGGAAAGUGAUACAAAUUAUUACAUUUUGAAAAGGUAAAGAAGUCUCUUGGGAAGGUGAAAAGGCUCAUUGGGAAUGUAAGAAGAACUAUUAUCUUUGGAAAGAUAAAAAAACUCUUGGAAAGGUGAGAGGAAAGGUGAAAAGGCUUCUUGAGGAGGUGAAAAGCCAAAGAGAUAGUUAGGAAAGAGAGAGUCUUGGUGAAAAGGCUUCUUGAGGAGGUGAAAAGGCAAAGAGAUAGUUAGGAAAAAGAGGCUUAGGGAGAGCCCGACGUAAGCUCUCAAAAACCAUUAAAUUAUGUAUUUAUAUAUAUGGAUUCUUUUCUUUCGUUCGAAAUUUAUGUAUUUAUAUAAAUUCUUUUCUUAGUUCAAAAUUUAUUUCUUAUUUUUUGAUUAUUUUUUAGAAAUAAAAUUAGUUAGAAAUAUGAAUUAAUUAGGAUGCGAAUUUGGGACCCUCGUAUACCAAUCACCAAACCCUUUGCCAUUUGCGCUAGAAGUAUGUCUAUUGUCUCCUUCCUCCCCUCAAAAAAAAAAAAGAAAAAAAAAAGAAAAGAAAAAGUGUCAAAAUUAUAGGUUUAGAGUGUCAUUCUACAAUAGAUUAAAGUUUUGGGGGUAUUUGUGCACUUAUUCCCUUUUCAUUUUGGUAACAAUCUCGAGCACGCAUGUUUUCCUUUUAAGUUUUCUUUUGGUAUCUGUUAGCUCUUCGUAGUGCAAGAAAAAGUAAAAAAGAAAAAGAAAAAAAGGGUUUUUGGAUGAUGGACAAAAGCUUGUUUGCAGGUAUACAAGGAUCAAUGUUUUGUUAAAAACUGGGCUUAAGCAGGGUAUACCCCUGUUUACUCAUCAAAAAAAAAAAAAAAAAAAAAAAAAAAAAAAAAAAAAAAAAAAAAAAAGAAAAAAAAAAAAAAAAAAAAAAAAAAAAAAAAACUGGGCUUAAGCAUUUUCAGUAAGUGGUUCAGGCUUGGGAAGAUCCAAGAUAACAAAAAGCUAAUACCUUACCUAAAUACAGCCUGAAUAAAAAAUUAUUCGAACUUGCGGUGACAUGAAACGGAAAAAAACGAGUACACACUUCUAAGAACAUAGCGAAGAACAAAGAUUCUGAAACCCCUAAAGAUUAAAAAAAAAUAAAAAAAAUAAAAAAAACUCACCGAUUCGGAAAGCAAAAUGAUCCCAAAUAGGAAAUCAAUUCGAACCCAAAAUAAGUCAGAUCAGACGGAUAAGAGAUAUUUCCAUGCCUAAGACUGCUUAAUUAAUAUGGUAAUAGAGAACUAGGAUUUAACUCCCAUGUAAUCAAAAUACCUUAGUGCCCUAGAAUUUCAAUGGUUAUGGCUUAUCAUUUACAGCUAUAAAAAGUGACUACGAUUAGUUUUAAACCCUGGUAUUACAGGAAAGCUACAACAGUAAGAAAGAAAAAAAAAAUUAUACUUAAUGGAUACAGAAAAAAAAUAUUUAAAGGUUACAGCUAGAAAUAGAUAAGAGAAGAGAUAAAGCUAAAAAUAUUUAAAGAGUUCCACCAGGAGCUUCCUAGCAAAGCUUCAAAUUGAAACUUCUGCUUGUAAGCCUAGAAGUUGUUGCUCCAACUAGCAGCUGUAAGAUUGUUAUUUACCAAAUGUAUGACAUCCGCUUAAAGCACUAAUCCCGCCAACCCCAUCAUCUAGGAUCGGAUAUUAAUGCACAAUGAAUUAAAAAACCCGGCUUUAUUAACAGCAAAACUAGAUGAUUUACAGAGGAAUCCUCGGCCAAACAAGCAACCAAAUCAGCUCUGUAAUAAAUAUACAUCAUAAAAGAAGCGCAUUCUACAAGCUUCACUGUUUGAAGCACUCUAACAGAUAGAGAGCACAAAAGUAAACCUUAGCUUAUUGUCAGGAACCGUUUGAACAAAGUUCUGCAAAUUAAAAGAAAACAGCUUUUAGAAAGAGAAAAGGUGCCAACGAGAUUUACAGUGGGGAGGAGCUUCUCGUUUUGUGCAUGCUGCUAUCAUCGUGCUAAGGUGGGCGAGCCAAGGAGGGCGAAGAUGAGAUUGCCGCAUGAUAUGAUGAAGAGACCAGCUGCGCAAGAGCCGGCACAGCACCUCCUGUGGAAAUAUAAGUGUGUAAAAAGUAAGUACUAUACAUACGUACAUAAUUUUUAACAGUAAGAAAAAAAAAAGGAGAGCAAGUAACCAGUAGAUCUAGCUACUAAUUAUUCUACUACUUGAGAUUGAAAAAACCAUGUAGAUACGAUGUACUACUGCGACGUAUCUUAUUGUAACUAUGGGGCCUCUUACUGUAACAGAUUACUGAAGAAAGGGACAAACCUAAAGCUUAAACCAACCAAGAAACACUACGGCAUUGGAUUAAAGAAUCAAUAUAUGUAAAGAUUGACGUUAUAAUCUUAGAGAAAAACUUCAGUUAUCUCGACAUACGAUAGAGUAUUUUUCACAAAUGGUUCUGAAAUAUAUAUAUGACAAUCUAGAUUUUCAGGAAUACAUUUAUAUAGAUAAAUGACUUUUUCAAGGAUAAAUAUGCAAAAGCCCAAAAAAUGUAUAUGAAACCAAACUAAAAUCUCAAAAGAAAAGAGUGUCACCUGCCAAUCCAGCACAAGCUGAAGAGAAGACAAUCACAGGUGGUGUCUGCAUAGAAAAGUAGGAAAGAGACCAAUUUAAGAAAUUUUCCAUUGGUUAAACAGCCACUUUGCAUACCAAUAAUGCAUCAUAAUAUACCCUACAGAAGCUUAUAGGAGAAUUAUUAAUGGAAAUUUUCAAGUAUAAUACUCACAAUAUCUGUUGUAGAUCAAAUAACUUACGCAUUUCUUAUGUUUCAAAAGGAAUCUAAAUAUCUUCAAGUACCUCAUUGGUUUUGCUAAUUAAGUACAUCUCAUUACCAUGCUCUCUUCGUUGCAAUAGGAUCACAUAAUCUAAUUAGUGCUUAAUAGAAUGCGAGUCAGGAAACACAUUGUUCUGUGGUGUCAUGUAACAAGUUUUACAAAUGAGCACUAGUUUUGACCGGUGGAGCUUCUAUGGAAGCAGCAUAACAACUAUUUCAUCAAAAUCUCCUUAACAGCUUCUUGUUACAGCAAGACAGAAUCUUCAAAGUGGAACCUCUGAUUUUAGAGCCAAAAAUAUUAUCUUAUCUUGCUACCAUAACAAAAGCCCCAGAUCUUUUGUUAGGCAACCAUUUGAUUUCUGGAAUCUUUUGCUUUCAGAAGUAGAGAAGCCAUUCCAGAUGCAAGGCCCACUAAGCAAUAAACAAAGAAAUAAGUGAAAACCAACAUGUUUUUCUUUAAAAUUUAGCCGAAAGAAUUUUGCAAGCUGCAAACAAACAGAAGAAAUGAUGCAUAUGAAAAACAGAGAAAAUCUAUAACAGAGUUAUUUAACUAAAAUUUUAUGAAAAUAUCAAUGGAAGUUACAUCGAGUUAAGAUACGUACACCAACAAGGAAAUGAACCCACAUUGGCCCUUUCACCCACCUCCUGACAACAGGCAUAACUGCAAUAGCGUUUCACAAGUUAUGAAUGCAAAAUAAUAAUUACUCUUGGCAUUCAGCACGGAAAUACAUCAUCAACCAUUAAUAGAGAGCCUACGAUAAAAUGAAAAAUAUAUUCAGAUUAUAACUCAUCAGAUAAUGACUAAAUAACGCAAAAAAUAAAUCAAAGAAUGAAGUACAGAGGGAAUGCACAAAGACGUCACAUAGACAAAUGCGGUGAUCUAAAAAGAAAAACUAACAUACAAUAGCAACUAAAAGCAUUUAGCAGCACCGGCAACAGACAAAUUGAAUGCGGAGAGAUAGAGAGAAAAAUUAAGGAAAGAGAGAGAUCCAAUGUUCUAUCAAGUACAAGGACGACUCAGCCCUAGGAUGCAGGCAAGCAACUUCAAGAAUACUUCUAUUUAAAAAUUCAGCUCUUUUCACUUUGUGAACUCAGGAUAUCUCUGUUCUCCCAUAUUUUCAUCAAAAAGAAAGGUUGAUGAAGCUUUGUUCUAGAACGGCACGUUUACGCAAGGAUUAAAGUGCCGCCCGUGCCGCACGGCACGGGGGCGUGCCGUACCGUGCCCCCAAGAAGGGGGCACGGUACAGGGGGGGUCUCGGACCCCCCCCUGUCUCGCGGCACGCACCUGCGUGCCGCUCGAGACAAAGCGGCACACUGGUGCGUGCCGGCGGCACGUACCAUGCGUGCCGCCAAUUUUUUUUUUUUUUCCUUUUUGGCUGUUUUUUUUGGUUUUUUUUUUCUUCUGUCCUCUAGGGUUUGGAGCCCCCCUCCCCCCCUUGGGCCAUCUAUAUUGUUUUUUUUUUUUUUUCACUUUGUUGUCUUUUUUUCAACUUUUUUUUUGCUUUUUGACGGAUACCUUUUUUUUAACUUCUUACUUAUCAAUAUAGGAGCAAAUUUUUAAUUGACAUAGACGAUCCAUACCGCGGGGGGCAAAGCCCCCCGCACCCCCCUCGGAUGUCAGUGGUUGGCUACGGGCUCGGGCCUAUCGGCCCGAGCCCUCCGCUUCCACCACAGACAUCCAUUUUUUCUUCACAAAAUAUUUUAUCAAAAUUUGUCGCACCGCGAAACUUUCGAUGAAUCAAUGGAACAAAAAUCGAUUUCCUAAACAAAUUUUGAUCAGAUAUUUUUAAAAAGAAUAAAAAAAUAAAAAUAUAGAUGUAAUAUUGGGAAUAUAUGAAUUUCUCACAAUACCAGCAAUACUUAUAUCAAUAUUGUCAAAUAAAUCUUGUAUCUGCAGAUAACAAUAUGCCAUAUGAUCCAGCGCGACGAUUAUGUGAAAUUAAGCAGUCAUCUCUAUGUAAAGAUGUAAAUUUAAAUAAUUAUUAUACUUGUGAAUUUUAUUAUUAUAUUUUAAUUUUUAUUCUACAUCAGAUAUAGUUGUAUUUUACUUACAAAAAGCUUUCAUGCAUGUUAAUUGAUGAGUAUAGUAAGAUAUACAUAGUAAAUAUUCAUAUUAUUUUGUUUAAAUAUUCCAAAAUAAUAUUAUAAGAGUUUAUUGGAACCAAAAAAGCUAAAAUAAGUCCGUGCCAAAGCGUACCAGUUGGAGGUCAUGCGUAUCUGUCGGCACGCAAGCGUGCCACGUGUCGGCACGCAAGCGUGCCCGUGCCGUACCGUGCCAGGGACGUAACGGCACGCCCCCGUGCCACGGCACUUUAAACCUUGCGUUUACGUCAAAAUUCAAAAGCCCAUAAUCACAAUUUCACAUAAACUCAACUGAAUUGACGAAACUUAUAUUCAAUUAUCUCAACGUCACUGAUGAAAAAGGAAAAUAUACUAACUUUGAAAACAAUGAACAAUUUGGCUAACAUAGUAACUGAUUGCUUUCAUCCAAAUAUUCACUUCUACAGUUCAACUGUUGCGAGGGAGAGACCAAAAAAAACGUUUUUGAGAUAAAGAAAGGAAGUUCUCCUUGUUAGAUACAUGAGAAACAUAUUGAUGAAUUUCAUCUGCCAUAGAUAACCCAUUUUAGCUAAUAGGAAUAUGAUCUAUUGACAGUUGUAAAGAACCCUGGGGUAAUGCGACCAACAUCACCAAGUCUUAGAGAGAUUGUGACAAAGAGAUGUCACCAAGAAUAUGUCACCAACAUGUCAAACUAAUCUCCUUAAAAUCCACAAUUACUCAAAGUAACAACUUCUAAUUCAUUACUAAGAAAUCUUUUACAUCCCCCCUCCCCCAGAUAAUUUAGAACUUUUCUUAUUUCAUUCUAAGAAGUUAUUAAAAAGAAAUUAUGAGAGUUACGAAACAGAUAAUAACUAUCGGUAUUAAGUACUCAUAACUGAGGUUUUUAUACUAUGCAUUGAGCUACAGGACCUUCCUGUUUGAAAGCCAGCUAAGUAUAGGUUGUGCACAUCCACAGGCAAUUGAUGAACUAUGCAAUGCAUCAAUCUGAAGAACGGAUUUCUAUAAACCACAAAUAAUACAAUGGGUUUGUUCAUAGCAGCCGUGAGCUUAUAAUGGUCUUGUGCGCAAGUAUCAUUUUACAUGUUCUAGGAAUUGCCUUAUUUUCAUAGACAAGGACUAAAAUAUCUGAACAUACAGUGGUCCUGUUAUACAUGUAGUUAAAGCACCAGCAUAUAUAAGGGGUCUCGAAACCAUUUGGAGCGUAACUCUUCCUGAUGCCCCACACGUAACAAUAUGAGCACCAUAGGGAAGAGAAAACAAGAUGGACGCUCCUCACACUAGUCAUCUGUUCAACUCGUUUCUACUCACUGAACCUUUAAGAGGCUGCAUUCCCACCAGCGAUGGCAUCUACGGUGGGAUUAACCAAUCUCCACGACAACACUAGGACCACUGUCCUACAAAGAUCUUUAGUUCGCUAAUGGUGUUCUAAACAAAGAAGAUAUGCCUACUUUAAUAACUAGCACAUUUUGAUUAGUUUAGCUCAAAGAACAACUAUAUCUUGGCAAAAGAACUAAAGAAGGAGCACACAAUGAAAUAUCUAUGUUAGCAAAAUAGGGAAAUAGUCAAAUAAACAAAUCAUACUGCAACGACCUGACCCGCUAGCAAUAAUAACUCGUUGGGCCAAACCACCGGCUCAAAAUGCUUAAGCCCAGUUAUUAUAUUUAGUGUGUCCGCUACUUAUAAACCCAACAGGCUCUCCCAUAUUAUUCGAUAUGGGACUAUUGUGAAUUGGGAUGUCACACAUACGAUCGCCCACCAAAUUAUUCUGAGAGAGAGAGAGAGAGAGAGAGAGAGAGUUC
rnacentral:lncRNA from 1 species